GGAAAAGAUGAGAAUGGUGGCAUUAGCGCUGGUGGCAAUAGCCCGUAGGUUGGCAAAAAGUAAUGGUUGAAGGUAAUAGCGCCUUGACCCCAAAAAAGGUAAUAGCGCUUAUUGGAGAAGUUACUAUCAUUGUGUUCGAGUGCCUUGCUUUUUGAGAUGGUUUGGCCUACGCUAUUCAUAAAGAUUGGCGAAUAGGAAUGAUUAAAGGUCAUUCUAAGCGUAUAAUGCUGUGUAGACUAGGCUGCUUAUUCAGGAUAUUAGACCAUCUUCAACUAUUAGGUGGAAAUCGAAAAUUUCGGUUUUGAAUCCAAAAUUCUUCUCCAACCGCUGUAUUUUGGGGAUGAAAUUUGGGACGGAAUUCCAGUCUAAGUUUUGCAGCCCAUGUGAAGAGGAAAAAGAGCUGGGUCCCGCAUAACAACAAAGUUGUCUGGACAGCAGCUUUUUUGUGCGACAGCUAGUAGUUUCAGUGAAGAGAGUUGUUGGAAUCCAAAGGCUAAAUUUCAAAAGCUGGGUUUUUAUUUUAUUUUAUGCAAAUGCUAUAUCCAAAUUAACGAUCAAUAUUAAUUUUAGGCAAUUUGAAAGGUAAAAUUUCACAUUGAAAGGUCAAAAUAAUAUUUAUAAUUAAUCUAAAUCAGAUCUAACCCCAAAAUUUAUUCCAAACUCUAUAAAUAGCCAUUCAUUUGGUAAAUAAUCCACCAAAAAUCAUUUUUUCCCUUUAUCCCUUUUAUAUUUUUUCAUUUUACUUUCAUUCUUGUUGAGAAUGGCCCCAAAACCACAAAGAGGUGUGAAUUGGAAACCACAAGAAGAUGAGGCAUUGUGCAAAGGGUGUGUUUCUAUUUCUGAAGAUGGGGCUAUUGACACCAAUCAAUCAAAUGACUCAUUUUGGUUGCGUGUGUACCAAAAGUUUUUGGAAAAUGAUCCGAGCAUGAGCAGAGCCACGGUACAAUCAUCGCAAGCUAUUGCUUCUCGGUUCAAAAUCAUCAACCAACAAUGUUCUCUAUGGAAGACAUGUAUGACAAAGGCCAAUGCAAGACAUGUGAGUGGCUCCAAUCUUGAAGAUGUGGUGAGUACCCAUUUUAUUCAAUGCAUAAAUUUAUAAUUCUAAUUCUUUUCAAUUAUUAAGUUGAUUUUUAUUUUAUUUAGUGGGUAGGAUAUGAAUGCAAAAGCACUUUUCUUGAAUGAUAAUAAACCUUCGAAUAGGCCUUUCAAGUUGUAUCAUGCUUGACAAAUCUUAAAAGAUUGCCCAAAAUGGAACGACCUAUGUGAAUCUUCCACACAAACAUUCAAAGAUUCUUCUCAUAGUGGCAAUAUACUCAAUUUGGAGGAAGAUGAGGAUGAUGUGGUCAUGCCCACUCCAAUGCCGUUGGGAAGAGAUAAACAGAAGGAUGAAAAAAAAGAAAAAAGGGAAAUGUGUUGAAGGUUAUCUCAACCAAAGUGGAAAGUUCUUGUCUAAAUUGGUUUAACAAGGAAAUGAUGCAAAGGAGGAUAUAGGAGGCGAAAGUUAGAGCUCCUAUAAGAACAACAUGCCUAUCAAAUCCAACAAGAUAAGGAGGCAAAUGAACAGAGGAUAAUGUCCAUGGACAUAUCCAAAUUUACUCUAAGAAAGAAGAAAUACUGGGGGAAUAAGCAAAACAAAAUUAUUGAGUCCCAGAUGAAUACAAUUUCCCCCUACAAUCCAGAAGACAACUCUGGAGCAGCUCCAGGGACUAUAGAUUGGGAUGACGUAGAUGCUGUGAUCGCAUUGCAAGUUACCAAAUAAGUCACGUGGUUCCAUUGUUUUUAAUAUAAAUCGUG
rnacentral:lncRNA from 1 species